UACGUAGGGUGCGAGCGUUAAUCGGAAUUACUGGGCGUAAAGCGUGCGCAGGCGGUUUUGUAAGCCAGAUGUGAAAUCCCCGGGCUUAACCUGGGAAUGGCAUUUGGGACUGCAAGGCUGGAGUGCGGCAGAGGAGACUGGAAUUCCUGGUGUAGCGGUGGAAUGCGCAGAUAUCAGGAGGAACACCGGUGGCGAAGGCGGGUCUCUGGGCCGUUACUGACGCUGAGGAGCGAAAGCGUGGGGAGCGAACAGG
rnacentral:rRNA from 1 species